rnacentral:SRP_RNA from 1 species
AUCAAGAGUCUCGAGGGGGAGGUCGCAGCGAAUCAGAAGUCCUUGAACGUGGCCACGGCCUUGCGGGAGAAGCAGUACGGGGAGUUCAUCG